UUUAUAUUUUAACAAUAAAUAAAGAUAGGCUAAAACAGAUUGUCUUUCUAAUGGGUUUGUAUCAUUUUCACAGAGGGAAGAUGCCAAUGGAAGCCUUAAGUUAUUAUUUCAGUUCAUUCUGCCAAUUAAACCCUUGCUUGUAUAGAACUAACUUUAAACAGAUGCUUUAUUUAGAUGUUUUUAAAAAUUCAAAAAGUAGAUUUGAGGAAUUUUAGAAACAUUAUUAAUGUUACUAGAACACUUAUGCAUAUAAUAUGUCCCAUUGGAAAAUAACACAAAACUAAUUGAAAUAGUUUCAUAAACCAUUUCACAUGCAUCUUUCAAAUUUUACAAGAGCUCUGUGGGACUAAAAAGGAUUUCAGAUUCAGCCUCCUCUCUGAAAAAAUAAUGAAAUUUUAGGGAUUGUAAACAGUGGUAAAUUUAAAUCUAAAGGCUUCCAUUAAUCUUGAUAAAGAAAAUUAGUGAAUAACCUCGCUUAUGUAUAACAAAAUAUAUUCAAAAUGCAAAUGGUUUAUAACCUAAGUCCCAGAAAGUCAUUAAUAGCAGCAUCCAGCAAAUUCCUAGAACUGUAUCUACACCAGUGCCUAAGUACCUGAGCCUUAACUUUACUUCCAUUUCUCAGUGGGAUUACUCCAGGAGUGAAGUGUUGAUUCUGCAAGUGCUUGCUCCCAGGAGUCCCACCAGCUUGAAUAUAUUAUCUCAGAUAAACAGGACUAUCUACAAGCAUAGUCAUUUGAAGAACCAGACAUCCCCCCAAAUAUUUAUGAAAUAUAUUAAGCAGAGAAACCCUGACUGGGUAUAACACUUCAGUUAUGAUGCAGUCUGUUUACUCUACAGCAUUGUACUUAAAAGCCUACAUCAUUGUAAAGCUGUAUUGUAAAUUACCAUGGAAAAAUAUUUUAAAGUAUUCCUCAAAUCUUUUGAACUAUAAUAAAAACCCAGAUACCAGAUCACAGACACUGCUAUGAAUUAUGUUGUUCAGUACCAGAAAUCUGUGCCAUAACAUCAGCUUAUAAUACUUAUUAUGAGGCUGAAUGUUUGCCACGUGAAUUAAUUUAAUUCCAACUAGUCUUUUCACAACUUGGAGAAAGUGGGGUUUUGUACUAUAAAGUCUUAAACUUUUAUACAAGAUUUUGUAGGUAACCGAUGACCUAGCUUUUGGGGAUGAAUACCCACAAAAGUAAGCAUUUGUACAUUUCAAAUACCAACUAAAAUCACUUUGUAUUAAGGAUAGACGUGUGUGUAUCACUGGCUAAUCAGCAUUCGAGUACAUUUGAAACACUGUGUUUCCAUGUAUGAAAUAGUUAAGGGGAACAGGCAAAAAUGCUGUAAAGAGUUGCACAGAUUCUAAUGUUUCCUCCCUCUCGUUCACAGCUUACAAUGUAAAGUUGUCAGACACGUAGCUUAUCAACCAGAGCAUUUCUAAAAAUGAGCAUACAAAAAAUAAGCAGUCACCAGACAGGCAAAGCGGUAAAAUCUAAUAGCUUAUUCACUCGAUGACACAUGAUUCUGUGGGAGAAGGAACACUUUUAUUUAACAACCUGGUAUUCCUUUAACAGAGACAAACGCUGCAUCAGAAGCGACAUUAAGGGAAGACAGACAAGAUGACCAUUUCUCUCCUCACAGAAUAAAAAAAAAAAACCAACAACAAAA